GAUGAAGAUCGCAGCGAAAUGCGAUAAGUAAUGUGAAUUGCAGAAUUCAGUGAAUCAUCGAAUCUUUGAACGCACAUUGCGCCCGCCAGUAUUCUGGCGGGCAUGCCUGUUCGAGCGUCAUUUCAACCAUCAAGCCCCAGGCUUGUGUUGGGGACCUGCGGCUGCCGCAGGCCCUGAAAACCAGUGGCGGGCUCGCUGUCACACCGGGCGUAGUAGAUUUUAUCUCGCUCAGGGCGUGCUGCGGGUUCCGGCCGUUAAAAAGCCUUUUUUACCCAAGGUUGACCUCGGAUCAGGUAGGAAGACCCGCUGAACUUAAGCAUAUCAAUAAGCGGAGGA
rnacentral:misc_RNA from 1 species